rnacentral:tRNA from 1 species
AGAAACUUAGGUUAAACACAAACCAAGAGCCUUCAAAGCCCUAGACAGAGGAAAAUCGCACCCCUAGUUUCUG